GACGAACCGUGCAAACGUUGUUCGGAUUCACUGGGCUUAAAGGGUGCGUAGGUGGGUUGGUAAGUCAGUGGUGAAAUCUCCAGGCUUAACUUGGAAACUGCCAUUGAUACUAUCAAUCUUGAAUACCGUGGAGGUCAGCGGAAUAUGUCAUGUAGCGGUGAAAUGCUUAGAUAUGACAUAGAAACACCAAUUGCGAAAGGCAGCUGGCUACGCGGAUAUUGAC
rnacentral:rRNA from 1 species